rnacentral:rRNA from 1 species
AAUAUUGCAUAAUGGGCGAAAGCCAGAUGCAGCAACGCCGCGUGAAUGAUGAAGGCCNNNGGGUCNGCAUGUUCUUUGAUUUGNGAUNAAAAUGACAGUACCUGAAAAACAAGCCACCGCUAACUAAGUCCCAGCAGCCGCGGUAAUACGUAGGGGGCGAGCCUUGUCCGGAAUUACUGGGCGUAAAGGAUGCGUAGGUGGAUACUUAAGUGGGAUGUGAAAUCCCCGGGCUCAACCCGGGAACUGCAUUCCAAACUGGGUAUCUAGAGUGCAGGAGAGGAAAGCGGGAUUCCUAGUGUAGCGAUGAAAUGCGUAGAUAUUAGGAGGAACACCAGUGGCGAAGGAGGCUUUCUGGACUGUAAAUGACACUGAGGCAUGAGAGCGUGGGUAGCAAACAAG